rnacentral:lncRNA from 10 species
GUCUGAUGAACGGGGUGAACACAGUUUGGCCAUUAUCUGCAGGCCCGCCUCCCUGUGAGCUGCCCUGCACCAAGAUAACACAGCAGGCUGCGCUGGACACAACUGGCUGCUGUGGACUCCACCUUUCCUCCAUGCUGGGUUCCAAACACAAGAUAGCAAAGACACUGUUUGCCUAGAGAGCCUAGUUUUAACCCCAGGCUAGCUAUGGCAAGGCCCAGCUGGGGGAUUUCUAUCCUUCCCUGCCUCAGGUGGGGAAGGUCCACUGAGCAGAGAGCUUGCCAGGUGAGGCUGCCAGGUAAGAAGGCUCAUCUCCCUGAGCAGAGGGGUGUAGCUGACUCCAGCCUCCUCAGAGGGUCUCCCCAGGCAGGACCUUGGGCUCGGGCUCUAGGAACCUCUUUGGAGAUAGCCCAGAUAGAUGGGCAAGGUCCUGACAGGUUAGCCAGGGAUCUCGAUUCCCUCUUCCCUAAUCCCAACUCCUAACUUCCAGUCCCUCCCCCUGACCCUUCCCCUCCACUGGCUUCUAUCACCCCCAGCUCACCCACAAGGUCUCCUCGUUCAGACCCAUGCAGGCCGGCCCUAGGCCUCACUUUCCAACAGUUUCUUCUAGCCCAGGCCUGGUGACUGGCUUCUGCAGAGAAUGUUAGGGCUGAAAGGACCCUAAAGAGCCACCCCUCUGCAUUUUACACAUGAAGAAACCAUGACCCAGAGAGACCGCCACAGAUCCAGGGCUACCAUUUGGUAAUGGCAGAGACAGACUGGUUUCCAGGAAUUCCGGAAAUGUUUGCUCCACCAACCUGCACACAGAAAGUCAAAUGAAGAUGGAGGAAAUUCUAAAUUAUUCUAGUACCCAAACCACUAGUUGCCUGGAAGAUGCCUGCUGAUCCUUCAGUUGCAGGUACCUUGCUACUAGAAGGCCAGGUUUGCAUUCCAGCUCAGCAGCUACAUGCAUGUGGUCAAAUUUCUUCACCCCUUUGAACCUGCAUUUCCUCAUUUGUCAAAUAGGAAUAUUACCUCCCUUUCCCUGCCUCUUGGUGAGGUUGAAAUUAGAAAAUGGAUGUAAAAGAAUGCUCUGAUUUGAAAAUGUUCUGAAGACAUAUGCGAUUACUCAUUAUGAAUACAAUAUUCUCCUUUCUGUAUUUGAGAAAGGCCCUUUGUUGGCCGGGGGUGGCGGAGGACUUAGGUAACUCAGCCAGGUUGCUCCCACCAGCCUGAUUUAAUGGACUCCUCUCUUAAUCACCACAGCUUCUCUCUCCUUGUGCCUGACUCUUUCUGAGCUUUCUGAGCUUUGCAAUCCCCAGCUCACCCCCCCAACACGCCCCCACAGUCCUUCUUCCCAACAGUUGCCAGCCCACCCUGGCCAUAAACGGGUAGAACCCACAAGGGCUCUCAGGAAACAGCUUCGCCCUUGCCUUCUCCCACUCCCAGGUCCUCUCUGACCCAGAAGAAGCUCACAUGUCCCCUUCUUUCCCCACAGUUGUGUCAGCAAAGUAAACUGGAGGCUGGUUGACCCCCAGUCUCUAAAGUAGGCCAGAGCCCCAGUGCUCUCAGGUGAAUUCCAGGGCUUAGUAUGGGAAGGUGGGAGGUGGGCUGGGGCCAGCCUGGUGGUACCAACCCCUGGGUACUUACAAUCCUCUGAACCCCACACUGAAUCAGAGAGAGAGGCUGGGAGCUGGCAUUUAUUAAUCCUCUAUUCUAUGCUGGGCACUUUGCCCACAUUAGAGCUACUUCUCAUAACCCAUGGAGAGGGUUAGUAUCCUCGUUUAACAGGUGAGGAGAAACAGGUUCCAAGAUACUAAGAAACAUACCCAUAGUCACACAAGACUUCAGGGAUGAACAGGAAUCCAAAUCCAGGGUUCUCACCUCUAGGCUUGGGCAUGGGUGUAGAUCCCACACCCACAGUCACUUAUUGAGUCUAUAUAUAUAGCAGGUUUACUGGAGUAGAUCAAAAGAAAAGAAAACAUACAAAUUCCCUAGACUUCUGGAUUUUUUUAAUCAUGAUCUCAAAAUAAGUAGUGGAAGUGAAUAUUAAAACUAAAAAUAGUUGCUGUUAAGGUAGAUAUCUUUAAUAUUAUUGUGUUACUUUCUCAAAAAAAAGAUUCCUUCCUAACCAUUUCCUUUUCCCAAAGUGAACAGCUGCUGUACAUAAACAGUAGCCAUUAGUAUUCAUUGACCACUCACUACGCACAAAGCCUUCUAUGGGAAUGCUCUCAUGUAAUCUGCCAACAGUCUAUGCAGUAGGUUCUACUGUUAUCUAUUUUAUAGAUAAGGAAACUGAGAUGCAAAAAUAUGGAGAGAUUUGCCCCAGGUCACUGAGUUACAGACUUCGAACCCUGAUGUUAGAGCCUGUACCCUGACCCAUUAAACUUAAUAUUCCCAGCUCUGGGAUUUCCUGGACCAAGGUAUGGAGCCUAACCCAAUGAAGGUGUGUGUGCUAGUGCCAGAGAGUCAAUACGCCUCAGUAACUAUUGAGUGGAAUGGAGUAAAGACAAGAAUGAGUAGGGGGAAAUGGAUGACUUGCUGG